rnacentral:rRNA from 1 species
CGACCCCGGGAGGGGGGGAAUCCCCCGUUAAUUUAACCUUUCAAUAAGGGGAGAAAA